CCUACGGGUGGCAGCAGUGAGGAAUAUUGGUCAAUGGGCGAGAGCCUGAACCAGCCAAGUCGCGUGAAGGAUGAAGGCUCUAUGGUUUGUAAACUUCUUUUAUAUGGGAAUAAAGUGAGGAACGUGUUCCUUUUUGUAUGUACCAUAUGAAUAAGCAUCGGCUAACUCCGUGCCAGCAGCCGCGGUAAUACGGAGGAUGCGAGCGUUAUCCGGAUUUAUUGGGUUAAAAGGGGGCGUAGGUGGUUAAUUAAGUCAGCGGUGAAAGUUUGUGGCUAAACCAUAAAGUUGCCGUUGAAACUGGUUGACUUGGGUAUGUUUGGGGUGGGCGGAAU
rnacentral:rRNA from 1 species